GGACUACUGGGGUAUCUAAUCCCGUUCGCUCCCCUAGCUUUCGCGCCUCAGCGUCAGACAGAGGUCCAGCAGGCCGCUUUCGCCACCGGCGUUCCUUCCGAUAUCAACGCAUUUCACCGCUCCACCGGAAGUUCCACCUGCCCCUACCUCCCUCGAGUUUCUCAGUAUCCAAGGCCCUGGUCCGGUUGAGCCGAACGCUUUCACCCCAGACUGGAGAAACCGCCUACGCGCCCUUUAAGCCCAGUGAUUCCGAACAACGUUCGCACGGUUCGUCUUACCGCGGCUGCUGGCAC
rnacentral:rRNA from 1 species